CAGCGCUCUUCCAUCCUCAAUACCCAUGGCUGAAGUGCCUCUGAGCAAGGCACUGAACCCCCAGUUGCUCCCCGGGCACUGGAGGUAGCUGCCUACUGCUCCGGUGGGAUGGUGGUCGUGUUUGCAAGAGAGGAAACUCGCUGAGUGGUUAAGACAGAUUCACGGAUGACUGCAGUACAGGAAUAGGUGGCGUAAGAAGAUCUGGCUUUGUCCAUGUUGACCUUUCCUGGUUGCAUAAGCUGGUUUCCAAUUCAUGCCAGCUUGUAUUGUCUGGGCUCACAGCAGUGUGUGAACCCCCCAAUGGGUGCCAGGCUGAUAUCCAGUAACAUAACACACAAAUGCGCUCAUACACCGUGACCCUUACCAAAAAACCCCUUGCU
ensembl:lncRNA